UACAGAGGUCCCGAGCGUUGUUCGGAUUCACUGGGCGUAAAGGGUGCGUAGGUGGCUGGGAAAGUUUGAUGUGAAAGCUCAGGGCUUAACCCUGAAAUGGCAUUGAAUACUACUUAGCUGGAGGUUUGGAGGGGGGACUGGAAUUCUUGGUGUAGCAGUGAAAUGCGUAGAUAUCAAGAGGAACACCAGUGGCGAAGGCGAGUCCCUGGACAACACCUGACACUGAGGCACGAAAGCUAGGGGAGCAAACAGG
rnacentral:rRNA from 1 species